rnacentral:tRNA from 1 species
GGAGGCAUGGAGUAAAGGCUAUCUCAAGGGAUUGCUAAUCCCUCCUGCGCUUAUAGCGUAGUACAGGUUCGAGUCCUGUUGUCUCCG